rnacentral:rRNA from 1 species
AUUAGUGGCGACGGGUGAGUAACACGUGGGCAAUCUGCCCUGCACUCUGGGACAAGCCCUGGAAACGGGGUCUAAUACCGGAUACUGAUCCGUCUGGGCAUCCAGACGGUUCGAAAGCUCCGGCGGUGCAGGAUGAGCCCGCGGCCUAUCAGCUUGUUGGUGAGGUAGUGGCUCACCAAGGCGACGACGGGUAGCCGGCCUGAGAGGGCGACCGGCCACACUGGGACUGAGACACGGCCCAGACUCCUACGGGAGGCAGCAGUGGGGAAUAUUGCACAAUGGGCGAAAGCCUGAUGCAGCGACGCCGCGUGAGGGAUGACGGCCUUCGGGUUGUAAACCUCUUUCAGCAGGGAAGAAGCGAAAGUGACGGUACCUGCAGAAGAAGCGCCGGCUAACUACGUGCCAGCAGCCGCGGUAAUACGUAGGGCGCGAGCGUUGUCCGGAAUUAUUGGGCGUAAAGAGCUCGUAGGCGGCUUGUCACGUCGGUUGUGAAAGCCCGGGGCUUAACCCCGGGUCUGCAGUCGAUACGGGCAGGCUAGAGUUCGGUAGGGGAGAUCGGAAUUCCUGGUGUAGCGGUGAAAUGCGCAGAUAUCAGGAGGAACACCGGUGGCGAAGGCGGAUCUCUGGGCCGAUACUGACGCUGAGGAGCGAAAGCGUGGGGAGCGAACAGGAUUAGAUACCCUGGUAGUCCACGCCGUAAACGGUGGGCACUAGGUGUGGGCAACAUUCCACGUUGUCCGUGCCGCAGCUAACGCAUUAAGUGCCCCGCCUGGGGAGUACGGCCGCAAGGCUAAAACUCAAAGGAAUUGACGGGGGCC